GAUUUGGGGGAAGUUGGAUUUAGUACUGGCUUAAUUUGCUAUAACAAAAAAAAAGACCUUAACCUGCUAAAUAGCCCGACCCGCUUUGCCGGGCCCCCGGCUUCUUAGAGGGACUAUCGGCUCUGCCUAGGGACUUUGAGGAAUAACAGGUCGGUAUGCCCUUAAUGUUCGGGGCCGCACGCGCGCUAACUGACAGAGCCAACGAGUUUCUACCUUGGCCAGAAGGUCUGGGUAUCUUGUAAACUCUGUCGGCUGGGAAAGAGAUUGCAAUUUUGUUUUCACAGAAUGCUAGAGGCCAGCCUCACCUGCCUAUUACUCCUCCCUUGUACCCCGCCUCCCUAUCCAUUAUGUCUAUGGGCCUCGAUGCUCAGGGGUGGACCACCCCGACCGAAGUGGCAACUGUCUUAAGAAGAAAUCAAAGGUUAA
rnacentral:rRNA from 1 species